ACAGAGGUGGCUAGCGUUGUUCGGAAUUACUGGGCGUAAAGGGAGCGCAGGCGGCUAAACAAGUCUGGAGUGCAAGCCCGGGGCUCAACCCCGGAAUUGCUUUGGAUACUGUUUGGCUUGAGUACGUCAGAGGUGAGCGGAAUUCCAGGUGUAGCGGUGAAAUGCGUAGAUAUCUGGAGGAACAUCCGUGGCGAAAGCGGCUCACUGGGACGACACUGACGCUGAGGCUCGAAAGCGUGGGGAGCGAACGGGA
rnacentral:rRNA from 1 species